UGCACAGUCAUCAUGGCUGACAGGCUCAGACACAGAGAAAAACACUAUACCACCAAGAAGGCAGGACAGCUUUUGUGAUCAAACUGGACUAAAUGGAUCUAAAUGGCUUCUACUUACAGUAUUGGCUGUAAUCAGAUGAAAGGAAAAUAAUACCAGCCGGUGUUUGCAUUUCCCUCCAGACCUGAGCCCUCUGGUGCCGAUGUGUAAGAGCUCAGGCAGACAAAAUGGCAGUGACCUCCCUGAUGGGUGGCAUAUGUGCUGAAGGACAGCCAAUGCCCUCGCGUCUCACAGACUGAAGGCCCUCAACUGCCUCCCCUAUAGCUAGUGUGUAAUCUGCCAUAACACACUGCCAUCCUGCCUGUGUCUACAGGACAGAUGGCAAGAUACCUAACGCAGGGACGAGGCAAGUUAGACAGUGGGGUUAAGGAGUUGAGAUAUGGUCGCUGAUGUUGUCUAACUCAUGAAUGAGGGUCGAGGGGGUUGAAGAGAACAGCAGGGAAAACCAACACAAUACUGUACAUACAGGGAGACAUUAGCAUUAUACUGCAACAAUCACAGCAGCACAAAAUAGUAAUCUAAAACACUUCAUCACAAAGUUAAUUGAACAUAAACAAGUUUUAAUCUUUAAAACGUUAUAAUUUGUUGACAUGGUAACACCUGUGGCUACUGACGAUAACGGCAGGUGCAUUUUGUUAACACAAGUCCCAUAGCUCUGUUGGAAAGGACGUGUUUUGACCACCUGGGACAGUAAAUAUAUGUUGAGGAGCUACUCCGUCAGAAAUGCAAAAGAAGAGCCACGGGUGCAUCUUUUUACAGAGCAGCCAAACAAAUCAUGGGCAGAGAGAAUUAACUGCAUCAUGUUAUUUUGGUAAAAUGAGACUGAAUAAGAUUCCAUCACUGUAAUCCUGAACUCCCGAAUGAAUGUUUUCUUCAGUAUCAUGCCUAGUGUGAGCAUGCAUUGUUUGUUCACAAAACAAAUCAAUUCAUGAAUUAAUUAAUUAAAUUUCACACCAGUGGCAGAAAGUCAAAAUACUCUUCUUCUCCCUCGGAGUGUCACCUAAACUCCCAACAUCUUUUCUUGUCAAGUUAAAACCCUCCGUGGCCUCUUUUUAGCUCCUGGAAAAGGCUCACAGAUUCCCAGAGGAGCCGUGCAUGUUGACGUUCUCUUAUGUCUGUUGCGUCAUGAUGAAAUGGAUACAGUAUGCGACAUAGGUAAUCAAUGCAUUCAUCACUGUAUGUCCAUUAGUGCCUCAGUCCUCGGCAUCUCCCCUGCUCACAGCAGACCAUUUCCUGAUUGACUGAUGAGGUGCAGGGACAGCCAUGAAAGAUCAUGUUUCAUCCUAGGAGAGGAGGAGGAGGGUGGCAUUAAUCCAUGACUGCAGCUGUUACCCACACACAGUGCAAUUAAUAAAGACUCAGUGGACCUGCACUGCAGACUGAUGGCUGAUAAACACAUGGUCACAUCAGAAAGCCCUCAUGGGAUUUGUAGACAAUGUUGGGCAGUGAAGUACAGUGGCAAUAAUUCAAUAUUAUUGUCUUUCACCAGAAUCAUAUGAUUAGAUGAAUGUAUGUAUGUUGUCACUUUACAAAAUACUUUAAAUUUGUUAUUUAUUUGUAAUUAAAGCAAAUACAAUUAGA